CGAACGGGUGAGUAACGCGUGAGGAACCUGCCUCAAAGAGGGGGACAACAGUUGGAAACGACUGCUAAUACCGCAUAAGCCCACGGGUCGGCAUCGACCUGAGGGAAAAGGAGCAAUCCGCUUUGAGAUGGCCUCGCGUCCGAUUAGCUAGUUGGUGAGGUAACGGCCCACCAAGGCGACGAUCAGUAGCCGGACUGAGAGGUUGACCGGCCACAUUGGGACUGAGACACGGCCCAG
rnacentral:rRNA from 1 species